ensembl:misc_RNA 7SK 7SK RNA
GGAUGUGAGGGUGAUCUGGCUGUGACAUCUGUCACCCCAUUGAUGGCCAGGCUUGAUUCAGCUGAUCUGGCUGGCUAGGCAGGUGUCUUCUUCCUCCUUCACCACUCCAUAUGUGUCCCUCCCAAAACUGAGCACUCGGUCAAAGAGGACGAUGUUCCCUGAAUAGAGGAGAAUGGGUCUUCUGUCAAGGGUAUACGAGUAGCUGCACUCCCCUGCUAGAACCUCCAAACAAAGAGAAACUGAAUUGCUGGAAGAACAUCAGACUAGGUUUGAAGAGAUCUAAAUUCUCAUCCUCACUAUGUACCAGAUGUGUGAUGAUGGAAAGU